AAUCCAUGUUGUGGGCAAGUUCUCAGGAGCUCCUUGAACCUUUACCACAUCUCAAAUAGAGACUCCAACUCUGACUAUACAAAGGAUGAGAUCUCAUUCCUAAGCUU